rnacentral:rRNA from 1 species
CGUCCGGCGACCGGCGCACGGGUGAGUAACACGUAUGCAACCUGCCCUCUUCAGGGGGACAACCUUCCGAAAGGGAGGCUAAUCCCGCGUAUAUCGGUUUCGGGCAUCCGAGAUCGAGGAAAGAUUCAUCGGAAGAGGAUGGGCAUGCGGCGCAUUAGCUAGACGGCGGGGUAACGGCCCACCGUGGCGACGAUGCGUAGGGGUUCUGAGAGGAAGGUCCCCCACACUGGUACUGAGACACGGACCAGACUCCUACGGAAGGCAGCAG